CAACAUGUAGUUUAAGAAAAAUUUAAUUUUUGGGGAAUUAAGAUAUUUGUACUUUUAUGUUGA
rnacentral:tRNA from 1 species